GACGAACGCUGGCGGCGUGCUUAACACAUGCAAGUCGAGCGGGAAAGCCUUCGGGUGAGUAAAGCGGCGCACGGGUGAGUAACACGCGGGUAAUCUACCUUCUGAUCUGGCAAAACCCGGGGAAACCCAGGCUAAUUCCAGAUAAGACCACGGGGCGGCGGCUCUGUGGGAAAAGCGGAGGAUCUCUUCGGAGACUUCGCGUCGGAAGAUGAGCCCGCGGCCCAUCAGGUGGUUGGCGGGGUAAUGGCCCACCAAGCCUAAGACGGGUAGCUGGUCUGAGAGGACGAUCAGCUACACUGGAACUGAGACACGGUCCAGACUUCUACGGAAGGCAGCAGUGGGGAAUAUUGGACAAUGGGCGCAAGCCUGAUCCAGCCACGCCGUGUGGGCGAUGAAGGCC
rnacentral:rRNA from 1 species